CAUUAUGAUGCAAUAAUUUGAAUUGUUCGAAUUAGGUAAAGAGAGAGAAACUGACUAAUAUAUUUGAUAUAGUCAUCGGUUAUAACUUAAGAUAGAGCUUCAUGUUUAAAUGUGAUUUAGAUAUGAAUAUGAAUUCAUAUUUGGAAGCUCGAAAUUGAUGAAAAAGGUCAAAGAUGUAAAAAGUCAAAACGUUGACUUUCGACCUUGAAAAAUCAAACUUUGACGGACUUUAUAUUCAAAUGUAAUUUAUUUUGGAGAAAUGAAUACGGAUUUAUGCUGAGAGGUUGAAAUCAGUCAAUACGGAUGGUUAAAAGUCAAAAUGUUGACUUUAGACUUGAAAAAGUCAAACUUUGAAUUUGAUUUAAAAUUUGAAUUACCAUAUUGCCCUUAGACUAAUUUAAAUAAUAACACUUGUUGAGAUUUGACAAGCUUAUCACUUGCAUGUGAUAUGCAAUGGCUUAUUGCAUGCAAGACACCUACCCUACUAAGAAUUCCAAGUGGUGAGAUAGGGAAGCUCUUGCAUGUAGUUUGCUUGUAGACAAGUUUUAUGCAAAGGUGAAAUGACUUUUGGAUUUGAAAUUGAAAAUUAAUUUUGUAAUUGAGAAUUACAAAAUAAAACCAAGAACUCUUUUCAUUUGAGACUCUCAACAUAAAAAAAAAAAAAAAACAAAAACAAAAACCAAAAGGUUAGUCUCUCUUUAUUUCCUCCACCAUUUUUCAAUCCCACAACUCGGUUCCAAGUCCAGAGAAUAACAGGUAAGCUCUAGUGGUUGUACGGACUUCAAAUUCGUGAAGAGAAUACAAGAGAAGAAAAACUUCAAAGGAAUAAAGGGAAAUGAAAUAUAUCCAAAGUUGGGAUCUUUGCAAGCAAGCUUCCAUAAAGAAACUAGAUUACAAUGGGAGGUUUUCUGUUCUCCUUCUCUUUUUUCCAUCCUCAGAAUCUUGCUUAAAAUGCUUUGAGGACAAAGAAAAUUUUUAAGUGGGGUGGGUUGGUAGCCUUGUAUGUUUCAUGUCCUUUGGAAAAUUUUCAUUUUUCCAAUUUAGCAAAAAAUGUCCAAAUUUAAAAACUUUUGAAAUGCUCUAUUCUUAGAAUAAAGACCAUGUCUACUUUGACUUUGAGCAUAGAAAAGCAUGUCUACCUAACCCUUGAGCAUGAAGCUCGGGUUUGUGAUUGUGUUUGUUAUUUAAAUAUCUUACAUAUGUUGCAUUGAGUUU